UUGCUAUUCUCAUUAUGGAAGCAACCUCACCAGCAGUAGGGUGGCUCUGACAUCUGCGAUUAAACUGCUACUGAAUCAGGAAAAAAGGAAGCAGGACAGAGGAAGGCAACGACUGGAAAGUUCUACUUCGGGACAACAUCUCUGAAUUAUUCACAUACAUUAAUGGAAACGAAUCAUUCUGACUCAUUAAUCAAUGCUGAAAUGAACGAUAAG
rnacentral:lncRNA from 10 species